AUUGAACGCUGGCGGCAGGCCUAACACAUGCAAGUCGAGCGGAGAGGCGGGCGUGUGAGUAAUGUCAGGGAAACUUCCUGAAGGAGGGGGAUAACUACGGGAAACGGUAGCUAAUAGCGCAUACCAACGGAUUUGCGCAGAUGUGAUUAGCUAGUAGGUGGGGUAACGGCGCACUUAGGCGACGAGCCCUAGCGGGGCUGAGAGUGUGACCAGCCACACUGGAACUGAGACACGGUCCAGACUCCUACGGGAGGCAGCAGUGGGGAAUAUUGGACAAUGGGCGAAAGCCUGAUCCAGCCAUGCCGCGUGUGUGAAGAAGGUCUUCGGAUUGUAAAACACUUUAGGUUGGGAGGCGUUACCAACAGAAUAAGCACCGGCUAACUUCGUGCCAGCAGCCGCGGUAAUAC
rnacentral:rRNA from 1 species